CAGAGUGUAGCUAAGAUAAGAAAAGCAUCUCCCUUACACUGAGAAGUCGUCCGUGCAAAUCAGACCACCCUGA
rnacentral:tRNA from 2 species